CGUGGCCGUCAGUAGAUGCCGUGGCUCAUUUUGUGGACAAUGACCAUGUCUUCUGCCUGCUUUACCGCGAGAUGUGGUUCCGCCAUCUCUAUGCGAGGCUAUCACCAACUUUGAAGCAGAGGAUUGAUUCGUGGGAUAACUAUUGUAGCUUAUUUCAGGUGGUUUUGCACGGAGUCGUGAAUAUGCAAUUGCCUAACCAGUGGCUGUGGGAUAUGGUG
rnacentral:misc_RNA from 1 species